UUAGUGCUCCGCACCGAUUAGUGGCGGACGGGUGAGUAACACGUAGACAACCUACCCUUAAGAGGGGGACAACCCAGGGAAACUUGGGCUAAUACCGCAUAAGACCACGAAUUGGGAUGUUAGUGGUAAAAGCAGCAAUGCGCUUAGGGAUGGGUCUGCGGCCUAUCAGGUAGUUGGUGGGGUAAAGGCCCACCAAGCCGUAGACGGGUAGCCGGACUGAGAGGUCGAACGGCCACACUGGAACUGAGACACGGUCCAGACUCCUACGGGAGGCAGCAGUGGGGAAUCUUGCACAAUGGGCGAAAGCCUGAUGCAGCGACGCCGCGUGGAGGACGAAGGCCUUCGGGUUGUAAACUCCUUUUGUAGGGGACAAUAAUGAUGGUACCCUAUGAAUAAGCCACGGCUAACUCUGUGCCAGCA
rnacentral:rRNA from 1 species